rnacentral:rRNA from 1 species
UACAGAGAGUGCGAGCGUUAGUCGGAAUUAUUGGGCGUAAAGGGUGUGUAGGUGGUUAAAAAAGUUAAAUGUGAAAUCCCUAAGCUUAACUUAGGAACUGCGUUUAAUACUGUUUAUCUAGAGUAUUGUAGGGGAAAGUAGAAUUUCCGGUGUAGCGGUGAAAUGCGUAGAUAUCGGAAGGAAUACCAGAGGCGAAGGCGACUUUCUGGACAAUUACUGACACUGAUACACGAAAGCGUGGGGAGCAAACAGGAUUAGAUACCCUGGUAGUCCACGCCGUAAACGAUGAAAACUUGCUGUCAGGUAUUUAAAUGUAUUUGGUGGCGUAGCUAACGCGUUAAGUUUUCCGCCUGGGGAGUACGAUCGCAAGGUUA